AGCUUCAUAUUUGUAACUGUCCUUCAAAGGGAGUCUAAGGCUCAGAUGAAGUCUACUUAACUUGUAUUUUCAGUCUGCUAAGAUCAUUGGUAAAUGCAAAGCAGAUUUCUUCUACAAGUUUUAUAAUUUAGAGUUUACAUUUAAGUCUCCAGGCCAUUUUGAGUGAGUUUUGAUUAUGCCAUGUGUCCUAGCUCAUUUUUUUAUUUCAUUAAAAAUAUUGUUUCUUGAUACUGAAGGUAAUGCAGGUUCAUUGUAGAAACAUGAAAUGAAGAAAAGAAUAAAAUUAGCCUUCAUUUUGGUCCCUCUGUGCUACUGUAACUAAGUGCCAUUGACUGGUUAAUUUAUGAAGGACAGAGAUUCAUCUCUUACAGCACUGGAAGCUGCAAGUCCAAGAUAAAGGCACCAGCAGGCUCAGGAUCUAAUGAGAACCACAUUCCGUUUCCAACGUGCUCUUGUGUGGCUGCACCCAUGGGAGGGAGAGAGAGAAAGGCGAGAGGAAGACAAAGCUGUUCCAUUUGGACAUCUGAAUUUAGGAGGGAACACAUCAAACCAGAGAGGCUACUGCCCAGAUUCUCAGCAAUCUAUGACCUAGGGAGAUUUUGCUUGGAUUGAACAAAGUGGAAAAAAAGCUAGAGGAGGCUUGUUAGUUUCUGCCAGAAACUAGCUCUCAGCCCCUUUUCAGUUCUGGUAAGAGGUGCGUAUUUUUUUUUCUCUCUCUCUGAGUGAGAAAAGUAUUUUCCAAUGAUUUUAUACAGGAAAGGCCCAAGGGCUGACUUGUCAGAGCAGGGA
rnacentral:lncRNA from 1 species